rnacentral:rRNA from 1 species
GACAGAGGGUGCAACCGUUGUUCGGAAUUACUGGGCGUAAAGCGCGCGUAGGCGGCCCUGCAAGUCGGGUGUGAAAUCCCACGGCUCAACCGUGGAAGUGCACUCGAAACUGCAGGGCUAGAGUCCUGGAGAGGAAGGUGGAAUGCUUGGUGUAGAGGUGAAAUUCGUAGAUAUCAAGCGGAACACCGGUGGCGAAGGCGGCCUUCUGGACAGUGACUGACGCUGAGACGCGAAAGCGUGGGGAGCAAACAGG